UUACCACUUAAUCGUCUUCUCAUUCACAG
rnacentral:piRNA from 1 species